GAUCAUGGCUCAGAACGAACGCUGGCGGCAGGCUUAACACAUGCAAGUCGAACGCACCGCAAGGUGAGUGGCAGACGGGUGAGUAACGCGUGGGAACCUUCCCUUUGGUACGGAAUAACUUCGGGAAACCGAAGCUAAUACCGUAUAUCUCCUCCGGGAGAAAGAUUUAUCGCCAAAGGAUGGGCCCGCGUUGGAUUAGCUAGUUGGUAGGGUAACGGCCUACCAAGGCGACGAUCCAUAGCUGGUCUGAGAGGAUGAUCAGCCACACUGGGACUGAGACACGGCCCAGACUCCUACGGGAGGCAGCAGUGGGGAAUAUUGGACAAUGGGCGCAAGCCCUGAUCCAGCCAUGCCGCGUGAGUGAAGAAGGCCUUAGGGUUGUAAAGCUCUUUUGGCGGGGACGAUAAUGACGGUACCCGCAGAAUAAGCCCCGGCUAACUUCGUGCCAGCCGCCGC
rnacentral:rRNA from 1 species